GACAGCCAAGGCUCCCACAUGGGGAAGAGCCAAGCCACAGCAGCUCCAUCGUGUCCCCUCCAUCCUGUUCUUUCUGCACACUGAGAGCCCAGCAGACACAUCAAUGCUUCUCCAAGUCGAUCUGGGUCCUAGGAACUGGAUGGGGGAGGGUCCUGCCCACCUUCAUUUUCGUUCAUUUUUCUAUAUUAGGGACGAGAUGAUCUAUUUUUAGUGCAUGGCUGGUGUAAGUCAGGGGUUGCUAUAGCGACAGUAAGUGGCUGCAAACCCAGUGCUGCUCCGGUUCCUAGUCACAGAGAAAUCCUGACCGAGAUGCAGCCCUAGAGGGUGGAGCAGCCCUCUUCUUGGGGGCUCCCACUUCUGUCCUCAUGGUGUACCCUGGGCAGGCUGGGCCUGAGUGUUGCAUAGGCAGUGGAGACCGUACAAACCAGGAACUGAGGGAACAGCUGGAGAGCUGACUGGGAAUGGAUGCCAAGCUCAAUUACAGAUUUAGAAGUCUCAGCUCUUUCUCCAGCAUCAUGUCUGCCUGUGUGCCACCAUGCUCGCUGCCAUGAUAAUGGGCUAAACUUCUGAAACUGUAAGCCAGCCCCAAUUAAAUGCUUUUUUUGUAGUAACAGUUUCCUUGGCCAUAGUGUCUUUUCACAGCAACAGAAUACUAAGACACCACCCAUCUGUCCACCCACCUAGCCCCCAAUCUGCAGUUUGAAUAAAAAUGGCCCCCUAUUGGCUCAUAUAUUUGAAUGCCUGGUCCUUAUUUGGUAAAAUUGUUUGGGAAAAAUUCAGAGGUGUGUCACUGGUGAUGGAUGGGCUUUGAGGUUUCAAAAGCCCACACCAUUCCUAGUUAGUGUGUUCCUCGGUCUCUCGCCUCCUCCCUCCCCAUCCCUCUGCCUGGUGCUACAGGGCCAGAUGUAAGUUCUAAGCUGUUUCUCCAGAACAAAAUCUGCCUUAAUGAUGCCAUGCUUUCUUCCAGGAUGGUCGUGGACCCAUCCCCUGAAACUGCGAGCCAGCCGGUACUAAACACUUUAGUUCACAAUUGCCUCGGCCAUGACGUCUCUUCAUGACAAUGGAAAGGAAACCAAGACACCAUCUAUCAUCUGUCUGUCUCCAUGCUGCCCGCCUGUCUGUUCACUCUCUAUGCAUACCUAUCCAUACAUUUUACUAUUGCACCGGUUAGUUCUUGUUUUUGUCAACGUGACACAAGCUAGAGUCAUCUGGGAAGAAGAACUUCAGUUGAGAAAAACGUCUCCAUCAUAUGGGCCCACGACAAGUCUGUGGGGCAUUUUCUUGUUUAGUGAUCAAAGUGGGAGGGCUCAGGCCACUGUGGUUGGUGCUAUCCCUGGGCAGGUGGUCCUCAGUUGUAUAAGAAAGCAGACUCAGCAAGUCGUGAUGAGCAAGUCAGUACACAGCACUCUUCCAUGGCCUCUGCCUCAGUCUCGGCUCAAGAUUCCUGCCCUGAGUUCCCUCAGUAAUGGACCGUGGUUAAGACACGUAAGUCAAAUAAACCCUUUCCUGCUUUUGGUCAUAAUGCUGACCACAGCAAUAAAAACCACACUAGGACAGCUAUCAGUGUCUAUCAUAUCAUAAAAAUCCAUCCAUCCAUCCAUCCGUCCGUCCAUCCAUCCAUGAUUCAUUCAUCUAUAUACCUGCCAUCUACUUACAUACAUACAUUACAUACAAAAUAAAAUGCUGGGCGACAGAAAUGCAUCUGGGUGAGCAUGUGCUUAUUUGUAUUAUUCUGAAGCUCCUGAGAGUCCCUCAAAGACCCAUGCUGGGCCUCCCCGUCACCGAGAUUGCCUCCGAGAACUUCUCUCACAGAAGCAGGAAGAAGAGCACUUCACUCCUGCCCACAAGAGCAGCAACUCUGAAUUCCGCAGCCAAGGGCUCUUUCUGGCUUGACUCCCAGCAAACUGAAGGUUCCAGGGAAGAAGUGUGGAUUAAUUCUCUAAAGAGCCUGCCUUUGUGUAAGACCUUCUAGAUGGUCUGCCACUUGCUGAGUGGGGGCAUCACAGCCUUAUGGUGAGAUGGGUUCAAAAGAACAAGGUUCACUGCGUGGCUUGGCAAACACCUGUGAUCUGAGUCCAUCUGAGACAGGAAUGAAUCGGAUAAUGAGACCCUAUCUGAAAGCAAUCAAUAAAAGGCCAAGGCUGUAUUGGGUGGUGUCUGGCCCCCAAUGGCAGUCAUCUAUUACUAGGUUUUGCCUCUGACCUGGAAUUUUUGUGACUGCUGGAUAAGACCCUAAAAUAUAUGCUGGGCUGUUGGACCUCUUGCUCACCCCUUCCAACCUCGAGGCUAGGAAUGGGCGGGUACCUGCUUCCAAAAGAAAGUGUCUCCACCCAGCUGAAGACUGCAUUAAAGUCCUAGAGGAGAGAUUCCCUAUCUCUCUGUAGCCCAACUCCUGGACAGACCGGCCACCUUUCUUUUGGGACUGUAAAAGCCUCCGUCAUCCCUCUGGGGACCAAUGCCAUUCUGGGGUAACCUGCGUCUGUGUUCCACACCAUGAUGUCUCCUGUUUGUGCUCAGAAUAAACUAUUCUCUUAUUUGAUAA